AGAGAGAGACAUGCGCGCAUAUCAAUAAGCGGAGGAAAAGAAACUAACAAGGAUUCCCUUAGUAACGGCGAGUGAAGCGGGAAGAGCUCAAAUUUGAAAUCUUCAAGGCUUUACCUUGACGAAUUGUAGUUUAUAGAAGUGUUUUCUGUUAGUGGUUUGGCAAAAGUUCUUUGGAAUAGGACAUCAUAGAGGGUGAGAAUCCCGUAUUUGGUCAUUCCUCCUAGCGUUGUGAUACACUUUCAACGAGUCGGAUUGUUUGGGAAUGCAGUCCAAAAUGGGUGGUAAAUUUCAUCUAAAGCUAAAUAUUGGCGAGAGACCGAUAGCGAACAAGUACCGUGAGGGAAAGAUGAAAAGAACUUUGAAAAGAGAGUUAAACAGUACGUGAAAUUGUCAAAAGGGAAGCGUUUGACACCAGUGUUGUUUUUCCGAAAAUCAAUUACGAAUGUUUUAUUUUUGAGGAGUUAUGACUUCAUCGGCUUGCUCCUUUCUUUAUGAAACUUUCUUAAUGCACUUUUCGGUUAACAAGUCAACAUCAAUUUCUUUUGUUGUAAAAGGGUAUGAGGAAGGUGGCUUUCUUUUCGGAGAAAGUGUUUAUAGCCUUGUGCCUCUGCAAUCGGAGAGAUUGAGGUCUGCAGCGUAGAUCCUUCGGGGUUAGAUACGUUUGUGCUAAGUUAUAGCUUUUCAUAGACAACUUGUUGACUAUGUUUAGUCUUGUAGCUUACUCGCUGACGCUAUUUUACCUACGCUUAGGAUGUUGAUAGUCACAGCGUGUAC
rnacentral:rRNA from 1 species